AUUUUCACCAUUCUCAACUCAAUCAUUCACUAUCAAACUCUUCUAUAUAGGUCUAAUACUGACCAUUUCCACAAUUCACCAUCUCAAUUAAUCAACAUACUAGAAAUCAUAUGUCUAAACUUAAGAAUCCUAAUCUCUUUAGAUAUCCACAAACUCUACGCCUGACUCAACGCAAGGACUCAAGAAAUAAGUUAGUCUAAGUCUUAUCUCUAGAGCAUAAGUGUAAUUACAAUUUUCACACAAGCAGUUUCCAAGUAACAAGGCAUCACAUAUGAUCGAAACUACUAGCCAAGAAAUUAUGCACAUAACCUCAUCAUAGGAAAUCAACUUAGAAGACUACUAUCAUGAUUCAUGCAAAUGCAACUAUAUGAACUUACUAACACAUAAUAAACACAAGCAUAUAUAAAAAAAAACACGUACUAAUAUGCACACUAAAAUGAACUAAUAUAUAUGCAAACAAUAUGAGAUAAUAUGCUAAACUACAUGCAACAUGCAA
rnacentral:lncRNA from 1 species